AGCAGCCGCGGUAAUUCCAGCUCCAAUAGCGUAUAUUAAAGUUGUUGCAGUUAAAAAGCUCGUAGUUGAAUUUCGAGACCGGUUUACUGGUCGUGCUUUUGUACGUACUGGUAUUAUUGGUUUCUCCUUUCUGACGAAUCAUAAUGCCAUUAAUUUGGUGUUUUGGGGAAUCAGGACUGUUACUUUGAAAAAAUUAGAGUGUUUAAAGCAGGCUCACGCUUGAAUACAUUAGCAUGGAAUAACGAAAUAGGACGUUUGAUUUUAUUUUGUUGGUUUCUAGGAUCGACGUAAUGAUUAAUAGGGAUAGUUGGGGGCAUUAGUAUUCAAUUGUCAGAGGUGAAAUUCUUGGAUUUAUUGAAGACUAACUACUGCGAAAGCAUUUGCCAAGGAUGUUUUCAUUAAUCAAGAACGAAAGUUAGGGGAUCGAAGACGAUCAGAUACCGUCGUAGUCUUAACCAUAAACUAUGCCGACUAGGGAUCGGAUGAUGUUAAUUUUUAAUGACUCAUUCGGCGCCUUACG
rnacentral:sRNA from 1 species